rnacentral:rRNA from 1 species
AGCGAACGCUGGCGGCAGGCCUAACACAUGCAAGUCGAACGAUCCUUCGGGAUAGUGGCGGACGGGUGAGUAACACGUGGGAACGUGCCUUUUGGUUCGGAACAACUCAGGGAAACUUGAGCUAAUACCGGAUGUGCCCUUCGGGGGAAAGAUUUAUCGCCAUUAGAGCGGCCCGCGUCGGAUUAGCUAGUUGGUGGGGUAAAGGCCUACCAAGGCGACGAUCAGUAGCUGGUCGGAGAGGAUGAUCAGCCACAUUGGGACUGAGGCACGGCCCAAACUCCUACGGGAGGCAGCAGUGGGGAAUCUUGCGCAAUGGGCGAAAGCCUGACGCAGCCAUGCCGCGUGAAUGAUGAAGGUCUUAGGAUUGUAAAAUUCUUUCGCCGGGGACGAUAAUGACGGUACCCGGAGAAGAAGCCCCGGCUAACUUCGUGCCAGCCGCCGCGGUAA